AGUGCAGGCGGUUCAAUAAGUCUGAUGUGAAAGCCUUCGGCUCAACCGGAGAAUUGCAUCAGAAACUGUUGAACUUGAGUGCAGAAGAGGAGAGUGGAACUCCAUGUGUAGCGGUGGAAUGCGUAGAUAUAUGGAAGAACACCAGUGGCGAAGGCGGCUCUCUGGUCUGCAACUGAGCUGAGGCUCGAAAGCAUGGGUAGCGAACA
rnacentral:rRNA from 1 species